UUUAUUUUCAGAAAGAAUUUAGGUAAUGAAAUUUUAAAAAAUAUAAUAAUUAAAGUACAAUUUGAUCUAAAAUCCCGGAUAAUUUUAACAAUUUAGCCAAAUUGUAAAGAGAAAAACAAAGGACCAUUUGAAAACGUUUCGGAACUUGAAUGAAGGAUUUCCUUUCAGUCUUUUUCUCUGGGAGAGAACAAACCAAGGUAGAGCUCACUUUCCUUGUCCAAAAGAACCACCCAGAAAUGCCACAGGCAACGUAGACCGGGAAACCCCGCAAACCAUAAAGAUUGCAGAUUUCCUUUCAAUCAAAACGAAAAUGUCCCUCCUUCUCUCCAAUCCUCUCACCUCUCUCUCUCUUCACUUCCCCCACUUUCAUCUCCAACUUUGGCCUUCAUUGCAACCCCAGUGUGAUACCGGUUUUGCCCUUGGUGAAUUCAUUGCUGGGUGUUGUUGGGCGGGUGCUGUCUUGGUUUUUGGUUGCUUUCUUUGUUAGGGGCAGGGUGAGGCAGGGGAGCGUCAACCACUUUUUCCUGCUGUGGGCCAGGGCUUCCUGUGGGCAUGCAGGCUUUGUGUUCGUGCCUCUUCGUUUUCUAGGGGAUUGGAUUUCUUUCUUUUGUCAUGGUUUGUUUUGGGGGUGUCUCACCUCCCUUCUCUGUUUCAAUCUGCCUGCAGAGUGUGCGACAGGGGGGUUAUUGCUCUAUGGAUUGGAUGUUGAUUUGGGUAUGAGCGUUUGAUUUGUCGAUUUUUAGUUUCUUUGCCUCUGCAUUGUCUGCGUUUGGUUUGUGAAUUUUUGGUUUCUUGGCCUCUGCUUUCCCUUUUGAUGUUGUUGGGUUGUGUGUGGGUUCGUUUCUUUGUGUGUUGUUCUGGUUUGGCAUAUUUUUUAAAAUUGUGGUUGGUUUUGCUUGAGUUAUGUCACUUCAGGUCCUGUUUCUUUGUGUAUUUGGGGGAAUGGCAUGCUACUGUUUGAUGUCUUUUCUUCUGGUGGGGAGUAGGUAGAGUAGUUUGGAUUUGGCGUCCUUCAUCAGUUGCAUCUUCGUUUUCAGGUUUAGCUUCUGCUCAUUGGGCUUGAGCUGGCAGAGUUCCAGUUUUGUGGUCUGCCAUGCUGGUUCUUUUGUUGAGAUGCUGCUAUGACAAGUUUUGAAAAUCUCUUAUUGCUUUAUGAUAUUUGUCUUGGGCGGCAUUCCAUGUUGAUAUGUUUUUGCAGCAGGGAUUAGUUUUUAUAUUCGUGCUGUUGGCUUCUGUUUUGGUUGUCUGUGGUCUGUUGCUUUUAAGGUUAUUUGUCGCUGGUGCUUUUGUUUUUAUUACUGCUUUGCUGUUGAGGGGGGUUCUGUUACUGUCUGUGUCCAAAUAUGUUAGGGUUUCUCGUCCGGGGAGGGUGGCUUCCGGGAAACGUGCAUGGUAGGGGAGGUUUGGAUAAAAUGAAAGAUCUCGAUGCAUGAUUGUUAGAUGGUUUUGCUGUGGAUUUGUGUUUUGCUUUGGUGGUCUUUGUGCACAUUCUGAACUUAAAGGCCACUUAAAGACCACGAAGGGUCUUCCUAGACUAAGGUUAAAGUGCUUGGUCUGUUCAGAAAACUUUUUUGCAAGGUUCAUGUUCUCUUUUCUUUCAAGCUUUGGCCUUUGUCAGUUGCACUGUGAGUUCAGUCAUGGUUGAUUGUUUAAUUGGUUUGCCAUUUGUCUUUUGAGGCUGAUUUUAUUUGUUGUUCAUGCAGGGGCCUUUGGUCAUCUUUUAAACUUCAGACCCUUCUGCUCUCUGCAUCUUGCAUCUUCUAUUUUGUUGUCAUUUGUUACCAUCUACUGUUUUGGCUGUGCUUUGUCCAAUAAAAAACUUCAGUGUGGUCGUGUUGUCAUGUUCCUACCAUUUUAAGGACUGCCUCAAUUAAGGAUGACCCUGACAUGCCCUGAUUACCCAAGUUACGGAAUUAUCCGGUGGAUCAGAAACUUUCAUGCUGCUUUUGCUAUAAGGCUAACAAGUACCCACUCUUGCAAGGAUGAUUAUGUAUUGGAAUUUGUUCUCCCAGGAGGCAUGAAAGAGACUUCAGAACGAGUACUUUUGAUAAAUAAGGUCUUGCGUACCUUGCAGAGGAAAUGUUUAAAGAUGUGGGAAGUUUGGGUCAGAGAACUAAAUGAGGCCAGUGGCUCUGAAGUUAGAUUGGAUGAUGAAAGAACGUCAAGCAUCCCACAUGAAGCAGUUUCUAGGGUUUUUCAUUUCCAUCAUGCGAUGGUGUUUUAGAAGGAAAUGGAUUCAUGACAUUGAACCCAACCAGCAAUCAAGCAGAAGAAACACACGAGCCUCUUGAAUGAGUUGCGCUCUUCAUGCACGUCUGCGAAGCUAAGGCUUUUAUUUCGAUAGGUCUUGUAGUUCUUAUGAAUGGGUGAGAUUGGAAGGGGGGGACCAAAAUAACAAAAUGCGGCAAAUAUGAGUGAUGUACAAUAAGUUUCGAAAACAUUUACUUUGGUCCUUUAAUUUAAACAAUCAUGUAAAUUAUACAAUUUCGAUCCCUGUAAAUUAUCCAAUUUUAUUUUGUACAGAAGUUUAUUUUUGUUA